GAUGAACGCUAGCGGCAGGCCUAAUACAUGCAAGCUGAACGGUAAAUGUUGUAGCAAUACGAUAUGAGAGUAGCGUAAGGGUGCGUAACACGUAUGCAAUCUACCCGCAACAGGAGGAUAGCUCCCCGAAAGGGGAAUUAAUACUCCAUAAUAUCACGAGAGGGCAUCUGAUUGUGAUUAAACUCCAAGGGGUUGCGGAUGAGCAUGCGUCUGAUUAGUUAGUUGGUGAGGUAACGGCUCACCAAGACGAUGAUCAGUAGGGGAACUGAGAGGUUGAUCCCCCACACUGGCACUGAGAUACGGGCCAGACUCCUACGGGAGGCAGCAGUAGGGAAUAUUGGUCAAUGGGUGAGAGCCUGAACCAGCCAUGCCGCGUGCAGGAAGAAAGCCUUCUGGGUUGUAAACUGCUUUUGUCAGGGGAUAAAAUACCCGUGCGCGGGGAAUUGAAGGUACCUGAUGAAUAAGCCACGGCUAACUACGUGCCAGCAGCCGCCGUAACAC
rnacentral:rRNA from 1 species